ncrna:unclassified sequences FuFi-1 RNA
GUUGUUAGCACAAGGCAUGGUAGCAGAACUAAAACUGCUAAAGUAACAGCUCGCCCCACAGAAGCAUUAGGUGCCUUCUGAUGUGGUGAAAACCUGCAAGGCGUCAAGGGUAAACAAAUUUAGACAAAGACUGGUAGAGAAGGCACCUCUAUCGGUCUUUU